rnacentral:rRNA from 1 species
AGAGUUUGAUCCUGGCUCAGGAUAAACGCUGGCGGCGUGCCUAACACAUGCAAGUCGAACGAUCCCGCAAGGGAGAGUGGCGGAAGGGUGAGUAACACGUGGGAAUCUACCUCCUCGCAGGGAACAACCUCUCGAAAGAGAGGCUAAUACCCAAAAGGGUCAGAAAUGAUCAGAGUCGAAAGGCGUGAGGAGAGGAGCCCGCGGCCCAUCAGCUAGUUGGUGAGGUAAUGGCUUACCAAGGCUACGACGGGUAGGGGAUCUGAGAGGAUGUCCCCCACACUGGAACUGAAACACGGUCCAGACGCCUACGGGUGGCAGCAGUGAGGAAUAUUGGACAAUGGGCGAAAGCCCGAUCCAGCAACGCCGCGUGGAGGAUGAAGGCCUUCGGGUCGUAAACUUCUUUAGAGGGAGACGAGAAAGGACGGUAUCCCUAGAAUAAGCGACGGCAAACUACGUG